AGAGUUUGAUCCUGGCUCAGAACGAACGCUGGCGGCGUGCUUAAUACAUGCAAGUCGUGCGAGAACGGGGGCUUCGGCCUCCUAGUAAAGCGGCGAACGGGUGCGUAACACGUGGGCAACCUGCCUAUCAGUUUGGGAUAAGCUCUCGAAAGGGGGUCUAAUACCGAAUGAUACCCAGAAGAGACAUCUCUUUUGGCUCAAAGACGGUGCAAGCCGUCGCUGAUAGAUGGGCCCGCGCCCCAUUAGCUAGUUGGUAGGGUAACGGCCUACCAAGGCUCCGAUGGGUAGCCGACCUGAGAGGGUGACCGGCCACACUGGGACUGAGAUACGGCCCAGACUCCUACGGGAGGCAGCAGUAGGGAAUAUUGCGCAAUGGAGGCAACUCUGACGCAGCAACGCCGCGUGGAUGAUGAAGCUCUUUGGAGUGUAAAGUCCUGUCGCCAGGGAAGAAACGAUGGAUGAGGAAAUGCAUUCGUCCUGACGGUACCUGGAGAGGAAGUUCCGGCUAACUCCGUGCCAGCAGCCGCGGUAACACGGGGGGAACGAGCGUUGUUCGGAUUUACUGGGCGUAAAGGGUGCGUAGGCGGGUUGGCAAGUCGGGUGUGAAAUUCCAUAGCUUAACUAUGGACCUGCAUUCGAAACUGUUGAUCUUGAGUACUGGAGAGGUGAGUGGAAUUCUCGGUGUAGCGGUGAAAUGCGUAGAUAUCGAGAGGAACACCGUUGGCGAAGGCGGCUCACUGGACAGAUACUGACGCUGAGGCACGAAGGUCGGGGGAGCAAACAGGAUUAGAUACCCUGGUAGUCG
rnacentral:rRNA from 1 species